AGGCUCGUCCGCUCAGGGUUAAUCGGGACCUAAGCCGAGGCCGAAAGGCGUAGGCGAUGGACAACAGGUUGAUAUUCCUGUACCACCUCCUCACCAUUUGAGCAAUGGGGGGACGCAGGAGGAUAGGGUAAGCGCGGUAUUGGAUAUCCGCGUCCAAGCAGUUAGGCUGGGAAAUAGGCAAAUCCGUUUCCCAUAAGGCUGAGCUGUGAUGGCGAGCGAAAUAUAGUAGCGAAGUUCCUGAUUCCACACUGCCAAGAAAAGCCUCUAGCGAGGUGAGAGGUGCCCGUACCGCAAACCGACACAGGUAGGCGAGGAGAGAAUCCUAAGGUGAUCGAGAGAACUCUCGUUAAGGAACUCGGCAAAAUGACCCCGUAACUUCGGGAGAAGGGGUGCUCUGUUAGGGUGCAAGCCCGAGAGAGCCGCAGUGAAUAGGCCCAGGCGACUGUUUAGCAAAAACACAGGUCUCUGCGAAGCCGUAAGGCGAAGUAUAGGGGCUGACGCCUGCCCGGUGCUGGAAGGUUAAGAGGAGCGCUUAGCGUAAGCGAAGGUGCGAAUUGAAGCCCCAGUAAACGGCGGCCGUAACUAUAACGGUCCUAAGGUAGCGAAAUUCCUUGUCGGGUAAGUUCCGACCCGCACGAAAGGCGCAACGAUCUGGGCACUGUCUCAACGAGAGACUCGGUGAAAUUAUAGUACCUGUGAAGAUGCAGGUUACCCGCGACAGGACGGAAAGACCCCGUGGAGCUUUACUGCAGCCUGAUAUUGAAUGUUGGUACAGCUUGUACAGGAUAGGUAGGAGCCUUGGAAACCGGAGCGCCAGCUUUGGUGGAGGCAUCGGUGGGAUACUACCCUGGCUGUAUUGACCUUCUAACCCGCCGCCCUUAUCGGGCGGGGAGACAGUGUCAGGUGGGCAGUUUGACUGGGGCGGUCGCCUCCUAAAAGGUAACGGAGGCGCCCAAAGGUUCCCUCAGAAUGGUUGGAAAUCAUUCGCAGAGUGUAAAGGCACAAGGGAGCUUGACUGCGAGACCUACAAGUCGAGCAGGGACGAAAGUCGGGCUUAGUGAUCCGGUGGUUCCGCAUGGAAGGGCCAUCGCUCAACGGAUAAAAGCUACCCCGGGGAUAACAAGCUUAUCUCCCCCAAGAGUCCACAUCGACGGGGAGGUUUGGCACCUCGAUGUCGGCUCAUCGCAUCCUGGGGCUGUAGUCGGUCCCAAGGGUUGGGCUGUUCGCCCAUUAAAGCGGUACGCGAGCUGGGUUCAGAACGUCGUGAGACAGUUCGGUCCCUAUCCGUCGCGGGCGCAGGAAAUUUGAGAGGAGUUGUCCUUAGUACGAGAGGACCGGGAUGGACGCACCGCUGGUGUACCAGUUGUUCUGCCAAGGGCAUCGCUGGGUAGCUAUGUGCGGACGGGAUAAGUGCUGAAAGCAUCUAAGCAUGAAGCCCCCCUCAAGAUGAGAUUUCCCAUUCCGCGAGGAAGUAAGAUCCCUGAAAGAUGAUCAGGUUGAUAGGUCUGAGGUGGAAGUGUGGCGACACAUGGAGCUGACAGAUACUAAUCGAUCGAGGACUUAACC
rnacentral:rRNA from 1 species